CCACUGAGAUAAAACCCCAGUCCAUCCCUGCUGUCUUCUACAUUUCCUCUUUCCUUCAUGUUGGGCCUCGUGGAACACAGCACUAACCCAGAAGGAAAACAACUUCUGGGUGACUUUAACUUCAACCAGGAGGAUAACACGGCAGAAUGAAUGGUACCACCCAGCUUUCUGAUCAUCAUGUGAACUGGUUCCCUCUGCUACACUAUUCUGCCAAGAUGUUCUGCCUCGCCUUGAGCCCUGAGGAGCAGAGCCACCAUUUUAUGGACUAAGACCUCUGAAACUGUGAGCCC